UACGUAGGGGGCAAGCGUUGUCCGGAUUUAUUGGGCGUAAAGAGCUCGUAGGCGGUUUCGUAAGUCGGGUGUGAAAACUCUGGGCUCAACCCAGAGACGCCACCCGAUACUGCGAUGACUAGAGUCUGGUAGGGGAUCGUGGAAUUCCUGGUGUAGCGGUGAAAUGCGCAGAUAUCAGGAGGAACACCAGCGGCGAAGGCGGCGAUCUGGGCCAGUACUGACGCUGAGGAGCGAAAGCGUGGGGAGCAAACAGG
rnacentral:rRNA from 1 species